rnacentral:rRNA from 1 species
AUUGAACGCUGGCGGCAGGCUUAACACAUGCAAGUCGAGCGGGGGAAGGUAGCUUGCUACCGGACCUAGCGGCGGACGGGUGAGUAAUGCUUAGGAAUCUGCCUAUUAGUGGGGGACAACAUCUCGAAAGGGAUGCUAAUACCGCAUACGUCCUACGGGAGAAAGCAGGGGAUCUUCGGACCUUGCGCUAAUAGGUGAGCCUAAGUCGGAUUAGCUAGUUGGUGGGGUAAAGGCCUACCAAGGCGACGAUCUGUAGCGGGUCUGAGAGGAUGGUCCGCCACACUGGGACUGGGACACGGCCCAUACUCCUACGGGAGGCAGCAGUGGGGAAUAUUGGACAAAGGGGGUAACCCUGAUCCAGCCAUGCCGCGUGUGUUAAGAAGGCCUUUUGGUUGUUAAGCACUUUAAGCGAGGAGGAGGCUACUCUAGUUAAUACCUAGGGAUAGUGGACGUUACUCGCAGAAUAAGCACCGGCUAACUCUGUGCCAGCCGCCGCAGUAA